UACGUAGGGUGCAAGCGUUAAUCGGAAUUACUGGGCGUAAAGCGUGCGCAGGCGGUGAUGUAAGACAGUUGUGAAAUCCCCGGGCUCAACCUGGGAACUGCAUCUGUGACUGCAUCGCUGGAGUACGGUAGAGGGGGAUGGAAUUCCGCGUGUAGCAGUGAAAUGCGUAGAGAUGAGGCGGAACACCGAUGGCGAAGGCAGCCCCCUGGGCUGAGAUUGACGCUCAGGCACGAAAGCGUGGGGAGCAAACAGG
rnacentral:rRNA from 1 species